UAAGAGGUACAUCAUGUAGUCUGAAAUGGUUUUGCUGUACUCUUUGCUUCUGACAUUUCUUGCUGCAUUGUCUACUUCUGU